rnacentral:rRNA from 1 species
AUUGAACGCUGGCGGCAUGCCUUACACAUGCAAGUCGAACGGCAGCAUGGAGAGCUUGCUCUCUGAUGGCGAGUGGCGAACGGGUGAGUAAUGCAUCGGAACGUACCGUGUAAUGGGGGAUAACGUAGCGAAAGUUACGCUAAUACCGCAUACGACCUGAGGGUGCAAGCAGGGGAUCGCAAGUCCUUGCGUUAUACGAGCGGCCGAUGUCAGAUUAGCUAGUUGGUGAGGUAAAGGCUCACCAAGGCGACGAUCUGUAGCGGGUCUGAGAGGAUGAUCCGCCACACUGGGACUGAGACACGGCCCAGACUCCUACGGGAGGCAGCAGUGGGGAAUUUUGGACAAUGGGGGCAACCCUGAUCCAGCCAUGCCGCGUGAGUGAAGAAGGCCUUCGGGUUGUAAAGCUCUUUCGGCCGGGAAGAAAUCGCACAGGCUAAUACUCUGUGUGGAUGACGGUACCGGCAUAAGAAGCACCGGCUAACUACGUGCCAGCAGCCGCCGUAA